rnacentral:misc_RNA from 1 species
UACAGAGGGUGCAAGCGUUAAUCGGAAUUACUGGGCGUAAAGCGUGCGCAGGCGGUUGUGUAAGACAGGUGUGAAAUCCCCGGGCUUAACCUGGGAAUUGCAUUUGUGACUGCACGACUAGAGUGUGUCAGAGGGGGGUGGAAUUCCACGUGUAGCAGUGAAAUGCGUAGAUAUGUGGAGGAACACCAAUGGCGAAGACAGCCCCCUGGGAUAACACUGACGCUCAUGCACGAAAGCGUGGGGAGCAAACAGG